GAUGAACGCUGGCGGCGUGCCUAAUACAUGCAAGUCGAGCGAACAGACGAGGAGCUUGCUCCUUCGACGUUAGCGGCGGACGGGUGAGUAACACGUAGGUAACCUACCUAUAAGACUGGGAUAACUUCGGGAAACCGGAGCUAAUACCGGAUAAUAUUUCGAACCGCAUGGUUCGAUAGUGAAAGAUGGCUUUGCUAUCACUUAUAGAUGGACCUGCGCCGUAUUAGCUAGUUGGUAAGGUAACGGCUUACCAAGGCAACGAUACGUAGCCGACCUGAGAGGGUGAUCGGCCACAUUGGAACUGAGACACGGUCCAGACCCCCACGGGGGGCAGCAGUAGGGAAUCUUCCGCAAUGGGGGAAAGCCUGACGGAGAAACGCCGGGUGGGGGAUGAAGGUUUUCGGAUCGUAAAACUCUUUUAUGAGGGAAAAACAAACGUUUAAGUAACUGUGCACGUCUUGACGGUACCUAAUCAAAAAGCCCCGGCUAACUACGU
rnacentral:rRNA from 1 species